AUGGCGGUUUAUUGUUUUGUUUAGGAAAAGCAGUUAACCGAAAGCUGUAUGUUUCAGCUGGUCAUGAUAAGUGCAGAUAAACAAGUGUAAUGCUCCCGAAGAAUGUGUGGGCCAAACAAUAUCUAAGAAACAAAAAGUUGAUAAAAAUGCAGAAAGAUAUGGCCAAUUCAUUGAAGGUGACGACAUGCAGGUGUGACUGUAUGCACGACUGUUACUGCUGCCUGGGUAUUAUGUGAGCAAGAAACACGUCUGGAUUAUAAUUUGGACACACAUGUACAGCUGUUUUGUGAAUAUGAUAAAUUAUGUAUGCUAUAUUUGCAUUUUUGAUGGGUUCUUAGAUGUUUAAUGUUCAAUACAUCAGACAAACUCUGAAGUUUUUUUUUAAUAGAAUAUUAAUUUAUGAAACAAAAUCCC